ensembl:lncRNA
CAAAACCAAAAUGCCUUAUUUGAUGAAAUUGCACAUUCUUGUUUCUUGCUCUUCUGAGUUUGUAUCCCUAUGGUUUAAUGGCCGAGAUUUAACAACUUAUUUUUAUCAUUUUUAAAAAUUGUAUAAUAUGACGCAAUUAUUCCUGUGGAAACAAGUCUAAAUGAAUGGUAGCUCCCUUUAGUGUUGUGUGUGUGUGUGUGUGUGUGUUGUGUUGCAACCCUGUGUCUGUCUGCGAGUGUUUUUUUUUUGCCUGGUGGCAUCAUUUGCCCUUCCAAGCCUUAUUUACAGUACCUUAAUGACAGGACCACAGGCAUGAUGAUGCGUCACUGCUACACAUUAAACACACACAGACUCAGAGACAGGCAGAGGGUCAGUUUACAUGCCCGGUGUGACUGUGGUGUAUUUAAGUAUUUAAAGCGCCAUAAACAACAAAGCCCACAGCAGGCCAAUGACUCAGAUGAGAGGCAAAAUUACCCUUAAUGGAGUGUAAAAGACUGCAGAUGCAAACAGUGAGUCUGCGGGUGAACGUCAGACACCGGCCUAAACACUGUUUUAGGGGUUGAAAUUACAGUUUAGCUGCUGGGCUGUCUACCCCCAACACACCAAUUUCAAGAAGCUGCAGCGUCGCGCGCCGACGAGAGUUUAUUCAUUCAUUCACUUAGUCAUUCAUCUCUCUACGUUUAACAGGGAACAACACAUUAAGAGUGGAGCCUCUCUUACAAAUGUAGCUGAUUAAAGGACAGCCCUGCCCUCAACAAAAACAUAGGGGGAAACAUUAGGUUAGAGGAAAGUGCAACAUUUUGGAAAAGAGGAAUCUAGACUCCACACACUAUAUUAGAAUUUUCAAUUCAAUUCAAUUCAUUUUAUUUUGUAAAGCCCAAAAUCGCAGAUUUUUGCCUCAGAGGGGCUUUACAGUCUGUACACAUACGACGUCCUCUGUCCCGAAACCCACCAUCGGCACAGGAAAAACUCCCCAAAAAAUGAAAAAACCCUUCCAAGAGGGAAAAAAAGGGAAGAAACCUUAGGGAGAACGUCAGAGGAGGGAUCCCACUCCCGGGAUGGACAGACUACAAUGGAUGCCAUGUGUACAGAAUGAACAAUGUAUAAUACAUGCAAUUCCUAUGACAGAAAUGAUUCUAGUAAUUGUGAGUAGUAAGCCAGGCGCACAGCAGGACCACUGCAGGGGCAACCACCAUCAGAUAGAACCACCAUCCACAGAAGCCUGUGGGGAGGGAGAGCACAGAGAAUUUAGGAGAGGGUAAUGUUGGUUGAUGAAUGAAUCAUAUAACCACACAAAUGACCCAUUGUCACACACAGGCCUGCCAUUAACAAGUAUGUUCAAUGGUGAAUUCAUUUGACAAUUAAUUUUCCUGAUCAGUAAGUUGUUCGGUCUAUCAACGCCAAAAAAUGGUGAUGUCAUUUUUUGAAAGUCCAAAGUGGCAUCCGCAAAUUUCUUAAUUAUCUUGAACUCAUUGAUAUUCAUUUUUACCAGGACACAAGAAUCAUUCACGUUAUUGAAUUCUGGUGUCACAGAAUUCACUAUUUAUGAUCAAAAAGACUCCAAUACCUGAGGAGAGACCAAAUAUCCAAUUAGAGGAGGGAUAUCAGGAUCAUCUCUUCUCAUCUGAAUACGUAAAAUAAUAAAUAUUUCCAAAAGAUGUCUUUUCUGAAAUAUAUGAGAUUAAUAUGCUUUACUUUGACAAAAAUAUUAAACCAAAAUGUUAAACUCCCUCAGUACUCUUGAGACAAUAAUUAAGAAGAAAGAAAAACACAAAACCUGUUACUGUCGAACAAAGAGGCACUUUUAAAUCAAACUUCAAACGUCAUUAUCAUAUCCGGUGCACCUGGGCCUUUGUGAGCCAUGACGAAGACUUUUAUCAGAGGCAAAAGACAAAACCUUCCACCGCUGCUAAUCUGUAUUUCCUUAUCUGCCCCUCCUCAAACCACAAUCGUAUGCUAACAUCAGCUGCUUUCUACUUCACACUCCAUCUAUAGGGAGAACGGCAGAUAACAUUAGUGCAUGGCUAUCGUUAGCGCUAUACUAACACCCAUUAGACUAUUAAUAGCGGUAUGCUAACAGUCAAACUUGAAUAGAAUUUGUUUUAAAUAGAAAAAAAGCAAACACAAAACCUGAUGACUGAUGAAAUGAAAGUAUACCCUAAAGCUAUGGGGUGUAGAGAUAUGUGCAAAUGUGCAAUGUAGUGUUGACAUUGUUGACAUUUUUAUUAUAUACUAUAUAUACUGUACAUACCAUUUAUAUAUAUAUAUAUAUAUAUUCACUAUUUGUAUUCAAAUUGUGAACUAAUCUGUCAUUAUUCUAAAUAGAGUAUACCUUACUUUGGAAAAGGCAUAUCCUUUAGCCAUGUCAGGGAGACUUUCAAAGCUCUUGUGGUACUCCUUAAGCUAUUAAAUGGUUCUGGUUUGAUCUGAGACUCCACUGCAUACAGGGAUGCGGGUCAUAGGGAACAUUCAAAAGUCUUUGACUUAUAGUGGUAGCAGCUCAAACAAAUCCACACAGGGAACAGGAAAAAUCCCCGAACCAGAGAAAAAGACAAUCAGCAUAUGAAAUGUAAAAUGCUGAAUAGAUGGAAAACAAGGUUUGCACGGUAGAGGAACAGGUAAAACAGCAGAGUAUACAACAGAGAAGAGAAAUGGCCCAGUACCACGUUUCAAGCUACCAAUAGUAAGCAAAGAUCGCUAUUUAGUAUUAGCAUUUGUUUUGGUCUGCGUGACGUCAUUUUUUUUAUCGAUGGCACUUGAUUGACCUAUUGGACACCCCUGCCUUAGUGACAAGGGCAGCGGCGGAGCCAACGGAAUGUCAGUGGAUGUCGUGUGUACAGAAUGAUAGCCGCAGGUAUCCCAGAAGAGCAGAGACUGCUUUAUUCCAGCUUCCCGAGAAAGGGAACUGGAUAAAAUGUGUCCAGACGGUCAGGUCCAUUCCACAAACAGACGUGAAGACAGGCGGACAAAUCUGUUAUGGCUCUGGCUGGAAGUGUGGGAAAAUCCUCUCUCGCUGUCAAUAUUCAUAUUUGUGAUCAUAUAUGUUUUUCUGUUUGAAUAAUGCUAACUGCUGGAACAUUUUAAUGCAAGUUACAAAUAACAGUUUUACAUUCCCCCACCCUCUUUAGCUGAAAUACUGCAAUUGAGGCUGUCAGGGGUUCCGUAUUGUAUUUCGCCUCACUCUGUAUAUGUUUACAGCUAAUGCUCUCUUCUUCACUGGGCUUAUUUCUCAGGGCCUUAAAACAGAGUGCAUUUGUACGUUGAGCAAGUAUACCAUUAUCUGUCUCAACUAACCAACUCAAGUAUCCAUAUACAUAGUUUAAUCCGGCAGCUUAAGUCCGAAAUCGACACAGUUAUAUUAUAAAUCAACGAAUCUUUGAUGAUGCCAGCCAGUAGAUGCAAAUAGGAGCCGUCUGGGAACAAGGCUUUGUAGACAGGCGCUAAAAGAAGGCAUUUCAGACCAAAGGUCCCUACAGGUGUACGCAGGCAGAUAGUAUAAAGAAAUUAUGUAUUUAUUUAAACAUGCACACAUGUUCAAAUUGCAACCCUAAAUACUACAAAAUGUCAAGAAUUAUAAACUUUCAUGCAGCAAAAAAUUCAAAGCGGUAACCACUCCACCUUGCCCUCUACUCACAGAGCAAAGGCUGGUUGUAAAAAAACAAUGAAGAGAGAGCUGACACACUUGCGUGUGUUUGCUGUGUGCUAAGUGAGUGUGAUGGCUGCAUUUAGCAAGAGCAGGGUGAUUAUGGUGAUGUAUUACCAGGAGCUGUUAUGGUUGGAGCUGACAGCUCAGGCCAAACAUUUUCACACAGACCUAUCUGGGGGGGUCAGGGGGGAGGAGUGGAGACGCUGUCAGGUUUGUUUAAGCUGAAGGAGCUUUGUUGCACUCUUUCAUAAUCUUUCUCUGUCUUUAUAGCCUCCUCUCCUCGGCUCGCUGGUUCUCUCUUUCCGUCUGGGUUUUCCUUCUCUGAGCCGUGUCUGUCCCUCUUUCCCUCCACACAGCUUCGACCUAGGUGGGCUGGGGACCCGGUUCUGCUCCUCUCCUUUUUUAUCCCUUUUCUUUCCCUUUCUUCUAUUUCAGGUGCAGACACAUAAUUAUGGGCCCGUACGGGGCUCAAAGUCAGUCUCCAGCCCCCCCAACAACGUGCUGCCUUUUAACUUUGUCCACUCAUGUGUUUGUUUGCUCUGUUCAUGUUUCAGUGUGUGUGUAUGUGCGUGUCAACACGUGCAGCCGUGUGUCUGGAUGAAUGUGCACCAUGCACCAUGCACCAUGUGUGUGCAAGUUGGCUUCCAGUGGCUGAGAGUGUGUCUCUUCUCUUUAUUUCUCAGCCUCUAAAUAAUAAUAAGAGCAGAAGAAAGGGAAGAGGAAACCAAACACACAAACAAAGACACAAUCACCUGGAAUGAAAGACACACUUCUGGAACACAGACAGGAUGCCUAAUAAACAAAUAGCCGUGUUUAGAGAGACUUUACAGAACGUCUCGUCUACUAAAACGCACUCACCCAGUAGGUAGGUGGUACUAACUCAUGGAGGGACAACACAGAUUAUGUCAGAAUCUUUAGUAAAUACAAAUAUUUUUCUCCACCCCCUGUGUGAGAAGUUUUCCUGCUCAAAUUCAACCAUCACAAGUUCUCUGUGCUUACAGGCCUUCUGGACAUGUUUGCAUACUAGUUUUUGUAAACGAGAUUUUCUUGCUUAAGCACUAAAUGUGAAUGAAGACUAAAGCAUCAACAUCUUAGCUUUUCCCUGCACAUAUUUCAACGUAUAACACAUAUUCUGCUUUGCAUUUUUGGCAACACAAGCCUGUACAUAUUAAAAAAAAAAAGAAUUGAAGGCCAAAUCAGGCUGUGCAUUUGCCCUCUGAAUAGAACUCAAGCACGCUAAUGUCUGAGAAUUUUGCAAACAACAUGAAGAGAAUGAAGGAGGGGACCAGUAAUGACAUUGACUGCAAUGUGGAUGAGAUGCUAUAACCCAUCUCUUAACAGAAGUCAGGAUCCAUAAACCAUCGAAAUUCCUUAACAAUACUCACUAUAUGUUUACCAUUGCAUUUGACUUUUUACUAUUAUUGUUUUGGUUUUACAGUAACAUGGUGUAUUGAAUACUAGGCUGUAAUAGUUUCUUUUUGAUUUGUAUUUUUUGUCAAAACAUAUACUUAGAUGUAAGAUAAAUAAGAUAUCGGUACAGAAACAUGUGUACUGAAUCUUGUGUGAACAAAAUUUUUAAUUCAUACUACAAACAGCAGUGUUUUUAUAGAGUGCAUCAGUGUACUAUUUAUGCUUUGAAAGAGUUAUUUGUGUGGGGAAUUCUGCAAAAACGCUUUGUGAAGUUUCAUGUUGACUGCUGGCGAAGUGGCCAAUUCUGAAUGUAUGGCAGAAAAGUUUAGGGAAGAAGUGAUGGGCUCUAUUUCAAGUGCAAAUAUUCAGUCUUGGUGAUUUAAUUGAUGUGAUGAUGGAAGGGGGGUUAUGCGCGGGGAUGGAGACGAAUGGGAGUCAUCAAUGCUGUGUCAGAAUUAGUGAGUGAUUUUACUUUUACAAAUAAAAGUUAAGAAAUAACUGUAUAGUUCCUAUUCAGUGGUUGAGGACAUCAAACAUGAUCAUUGUCACCACAUAAUUAGUAAGGUUAACUGGCUAGAUUUAUUCUACAAGAUACCACUGCUGACUGUAUGUUAUAGUGUAGUCGUAUUCAGAGAACUACUGCACAAACCCAACCAUCUGAUGGUGAUCACGAGGAAUGCAAAUAUUCCAGAAAAAAAACAGUAUGUGGACCAUGUGACAUCUUUGCCCAAUGAGUGUUUUAGCGCCUAGCAUUUAAAGUAUAGACAAUACAAAUACACACUAUAUGUCACUUUCCACUCUCUCUCACACUUUUCCCUGGUGUAUUUUGAGCUUUCUGAUCUUUCUGAUCGUAGCUCGCUAAUGUUUGUGGUUCUUUGUAAAGAAACAAGACAAGCCUCCUCUAGUUUGAUGUGGUGUUAAGAGUGCUCCACUGCGAAACCACCAUCUGAAAUUAGAUUAUCAUUUCACUUUGGAAUAAUGCCCUUCUCAUUCACCAGGGGAGGCCAGGGCCACACACACUUUUGUGCAACUGUCCAACAUGAUUCUUCUGGAACAAUUUUGCUCGGUCGGUUGUAGGAAUUGAGGAAUUUUUCCUUAUUUGUAUCUAAACAUUUGCAAACAGUUGUUAGCACAUUUGUACCAUAAUGAAGAUACUGGAGUCUUUCAUAAUUCUGUUGGUCAACCACUUUGAUCGAGAUGGAAUUAACUGUGCGAAUGUUGGCAAAUGUGCUUUGCAGCACAGUAGUUGUGGUAUAUUAAUAUUGGUUAAUUCUAAAACUCAUGAUUCAGCAAUUGUAUUUGUUUUCAGCAUAUUCUGUUGUAAAAGCCAUUCCACUACAUUUGUAUCGUGCAUAAUGAAACUGCCUUUUCUGUUGAUUUAUUUGUGAUGAUGUAAUGAUGACGUCAGGGGGCGUCGGCUAUUUAAAUGUCACCUGAGUAAGGCCAGGUGUGUUUUCUAUUUCGAGAGCGGAAGGAGAUACUAUUUUUGACCGCAUUACGCAUUACGCAUUACGCAUUACGCAUUGAAUUCUCCGUUUGUUUUGAGUGUGAUUUAGGUUGUUUUUGCCGAACAAUGAAUAAAGAUUAUUGAAGUGACAAUACGAGCAAAUGCGCGUUGAUUUUACCGACCGCUCUGUCAUUAUAGUGCAUUAACUUCAAGCAUUUUUUCAAGCCCUCCAAGGCAAAUUUGUAAUUUGCGAUUUUGGGCUGUAUAAAAUAAAAUGAAAAUAGAAACAUAUAAACUGAUUUUUACACAUUAGAAUACUCAGGGGCUCCACUUUAUCCCCACAGACAAAAUAUUGCACAGAUAAACUAAGUGGUUACAGAGUUAUUUUUAUCAUGGGCAUGUAAGUAAGCAGACCUCUCUGAUCAAACAUUAAACUGAGGAACAAUAGCACAUAUCUCUAGGUCUGUUGUAAAUGCUACUGGCAUAACAUUGUGUAAGGAAAUAUAAAUGAAUGUUUGACCUCAAUAAAAGCUGCUAUGUCAUAAGUCAUCUAGCAGGUAUUUGCCCCAGUGGAUUAAUCUUAUGCAGGAAGAACACAGUGAACCAAUUUAGCUGCCACAUCAAUUGUUAUGUCCGGGGUGAUAAAAAUACAGUUCAUACAGAUAGAAGAGCCGCUGUCAACUACAAAGAAAUACAUGUGUGGAAGGGCUGCCAAUGAUCUGUCAACCAGUGUCAGGAUAAAUUAUCUCUUAUUUUAAAGGUCUCAAUGUGAGAAACCACAAACAUCAGUUGGUGCAUGUGUGUGUGUGAGACACAGAGAGGGAAAGCAGAAGAGAGAUUAAUUAUAUAGUUGUUGUCCUGCCCCAGGCUCAAAUCGUGCUCUCACACGCAACACUGCUGACUGCCUGGUUGAGGAGGAUUCAGAAAAUCAGUUUUGGUUAGUCAUUCCGCAAUCGUCAUGUAUUCGAAAAACAGUUUAAUAUUUCAAAUCCUGCAUUGUUUACAUCCAUAAGCCUGUCAAGAGAUCAAGAGAUCAAACACUUUCUCAUGCAUUAUAGCAACCUGGCUACUAUUAGGGCUGCAACAACGAAUUGAUAAAAUUGCUAAUAACAACAAUCGAUAGAAUUCAUUUAUCAAAAGAGUAUUAUUACGGCCCUCAAAUUGUCGCAGAGAUGUUUGAGGAUAAAAAAAAUAGUUGAGCUGAACGUGGAGCAGAACGUUGAGUGUGAGAAUUUGUGAGUGGGUGAGUCUUCACGGACUGGUUUGAUGAGGUUUGGCGACAGGAGAGGGGCUGGGCAGGGAAUGGGGGUUGUAGUUGUCGCGGACGGCAACAAAAGCGCUUGGCUGACAUUUGGGAAAUGUGUCAAGAGGGACAAGCGCAUGGUACUGUCUGUUCUGUUUUUUUUUAUACAGGUUUGGAAAUAACUGCUUUUUAGUUUUCGUUAACCUUUUUGUUAUUGUUAUUUUACAUCCGCAUCAUGCAGAAACUUCAUUCAACUCUGACCUGCUCGUUGGUCGUGGUGUUCUGGCAGUGUAUCAGCUGCUAUUGGGUUGGUAGGUUGUCAUGCCAAGAUGCUCUGUGGGAAAACUAAUAUCAAAUUUUCAAUGGGUCCAGAUGUUGGGAAAAAAGGAAAAUGAGAAGAAAAGGGGAAGAGACAGAGUUUGUACAGCGUAUGAGAGUAAAAGAGCUAGAGACGGGAAACGAUGAGACGGAAACAUCUGAGUGUGUUCCUUGGAACGAUUCCCGCAGCAGUGGUUAAGACAAUAAGAAAAGGGAGACAGCACAGCGUCAGACUGUCUUUCAAACAGUAAACCAGCUGAUCCAGGUCUGGGUUCAAGUUUUACAAGGCCAACAACAAAAUGGUUCCUUUAUGCAAGAAAACACAAAACGGAGAAGGUACACUAGAUCUACUCAAUUCAGGUCUACUUUUGCAAAGACACUCGAUAUUUGGCGGUAUUUUUGCCAUGUACCCAGCAUAAUUUAAAGUUCCUGUGGAACCCUUUCAAAUUUCAGGCCAGUCCCUCCAAUAUUUUAAUUCUAUUUGGAUGACUAAGCAGCACACCAUUUAUUUCCUCUGCCAACCUUCUCUGCCAGGCCAGCGCAAGAAGAAACUUGAUUGGGUGCAAACUGUGAACAAAAAAAAUCCUCUUUAGACGAUGAGAAAGAAUAGAUCUGAAUCAAAGCAGUUUGUUAUUCACGGGGUUAUUUUUCUCAACAUUCAAGGAUAAGACUUGCUUUAAGGUACGGGUACCCCUGCAGGACAUGAAUGUAAGCCAGUGUCAUGUUUCCAAAAGUCUCUGUGCGUUUGUGUAUGCAAAAUAGACAACUUAGAAAGAAACAGGGUUACCAGUAAAAACGUACACGAAUCCACGCAAACCAACUACAGCCUUGUGAAGCAGACGUACAAGAGAGUGGCGGUGGAAACCUGUGGUGGGGAACAUAGUUGGCUCAGAAGCUUGGAAGACAGUGCUGCACAACCCAACCAGUCCAAGUCAGGGAGGAGAGGGAGCACCCUCAGGGCAAAUACCAGGCUGGAGAUAUUUCUGCCCAAACCUGACAACCUCUGAGGGAUUGAUGUGCCAGGAUUAGGGGAAGCUAGAUUUCACACAUAAUUGCUCGGGUUUGGAUUCGGCUCAACAACCUUGUUGAAAAAUACUAUAAGUCAUUUAGCAGUCAAAAGCCAGCAAUUUAAUGUUUUGUUCAUGACUUGUGCUCAGGUCUUUUCUGACUGGAGUCAGGCUAGGAAACUGGAAUGGAAUAUUACUUUUUGAAACAUCUACCACCCACAUAACCUACACAAAGAUAUCUGAACAAUAUUUACAACAACAACUUUAGUGAAAUGGAUAUAAAAUAGAGGCACAGCAUUGAUCCCACUUUUUCAGUCCGCUUAGAGAUGCACAGACUUUGGGUAUCGGCCGAAUAAUCAAAUAUUAUUGUUGAAAAAAAUAAACUUUGAGGAAGUGAUUGGGAUUGUUCUGUCGGUAAGAUAAUAUCAGGCUUUUGCAGCUUUUCAAAACAAAGAAUCAAUGGAUAUCAAUAAAAAUUGGCAUUGUUCUAGCUCAAUCUCAACCCCUCCGCCACAGUUGCACCAUCCCAACCAGUGUGUGAAAUACACACUCGCAGAGGGAAGGGCCUGUCAAAUAUGAAUUAGUCAAUUAUAAUAUUAUAAUACACCACAAGUACAGUUAUCGUCUUCAUCUUCAAGACAAAUCGUCCACAUCGAUGGUUGUUCUCUAAUUUGUUUCUGCCGUGUGACCACGUGCCAUGACCAGGCCUGGGUCGGCUUGAUUUUAAGGGGGACUGGAGGCGUCGGGGACACGAGUUUCGGAGCGGGGACCGGAGGCCAGGAGCUCGAGGCAGGCGAGCUGAUAGCUCCUGGGACCAAAUACGGAGUUUGUUUUGCGCUGCCAGAACGGGCUCCUCACAUCAAGGUAGUCGGGUCCGUAAUCUGGCAGCGGGUCCGCUGAGUCCCUUCGUGGUCGCGUCAUUCUGUCAGGGGAUGCGGGGAAGGCAGGACUCAAAUGCAGAGUUUAAGCAAAAAAUACUUUAAUAGUCAUAAACAUAAAACACAAAAUGGCCAAGGCUGGCAGGAACUAGAGACAUCCAGGACAAUAGACAAUGACGCGACAAGUGACAAGAGACACACACGGCUUAAAUACACUAGGGAGGUGCCGGUGAUUGGACACAGGUGGAAAGAAUCAGACAAUCACAGACGAUGAGAGGACAAGGCAGGAAGUGAAGUUACCCAGGGAGACAAGAAGCAGAAAACUACAAAAUAAGACAGGAAAUACAACCACACCGUGACACCUUGACUCACUAUUGACCAGUUCACAUUCUUCACAUCCUCCACAAAACAUCCACAUCUUCUUGUAAGUGCUUGUAUGACCUUUUGUAUGAAAUCCGACAGGCUGCUAUUGAGACUUUACUUUUUAUUUAAAGUGCUGUUACAAUUUGAUCACUGAAACCAAGAACUACUGAUACUGCUUUCGAGCGCUGUUCGAGGGUAUUUAUAAAAAUUACAAAUCAUGCCGGAACAGAUGUAAUCACGAGACAAACAGAUAUUCAACAACUCAGAGUCUCUUAGAUUGUUCUGUGUCUUGCUGUAAUAGCCUGGCUGUAUACAUUAUUCUCUUAAGAUUCAUGAGAUAUUUCGCUUUCUCUUAAUGAGCCUUCCCGAUCUUUAUCUCUGAAAUGAAAGCAUCUGUCGGGGUAAAUGAAAAGGCGAGGGAGGAGCCGUGAUUCAUGUUGGUCAUUGAUGUUUUUCUCUGUCAUUGGUCAGCACUCCUUCACUGCUCGCUGACGCUCCGUUGUAUUGCUCUGAAAACAAUGAGACAUCAAACAAGAUGUAAGAGGGAGAAAAGGUCUGAGACCUGAGAAGUUUUGCAAGGCGGUUAAUUAUGUUUCACUCUGUUGCUAAAUCAUGAUUCAGUCUGUUGCUAAAUAUCAUAUUACAGGUAUUUAUCUGGUUUUUGCAGCCUUUUAAUUCGUUAUUAAAUAGGAGCUGUGAAUCACUGCUGUGCUUAUUGGCCUGGAGUCUACCGCUAAAAAGCACUGUUUCGCUCAGUGACCAUUUUAAUUGAGUUACCUUUGAAGAAUUUGUGCCUCGUCUGAAAGGAAAAGUCUUUUUUCUGGAUGCACGAGAUAAUCAGAAACCGACAUGCUGCCUGAAUAGUGGAAUAUGGAUAAGGCAGUUUCUCUGUUUGAUUUUUUUUAACAUAUUGUGAAUAUGACAAAACUAGGAUAAGUUUUAAUAAAAGUAUUGUGCAUAAUUAACAUGAUUGAUAUUCAAUGAUCCGUCAUUGAUAGAUGUCACCUCAGCAGGGCUGCAGCUCCAUCCAUUACUGCAUGGUGGCUGCUGUCUGCAGAGUCCUCCUUCAAUACUGGACCAAUUAAAAAAAAAUCUAUUCCAGAUUAGUCACACAAAACAUGGAAAUAUGCUCCAGGUUGAGCACAACCAUUUAUUAGUCUGUUGCUUGACAGUUCAUGUGUAUAUGUGUGUUUUUGUUUCCAAGCUGAGUGUGUCUUGCAGGAAGGCUCUGGCGGCAGUCUAGACGACUGAUCCCCCAUCCGUCCACUCCCAGGAUCCAAAAGUCCAAAAUAUUGCAUCACUUUAAUGUGUCCUCAAAAGUGGUUGACAUUGUCUGACGAAAGAAAAGGAGCGGCCCACUGAAGCUUGAUCAAAGACAUUCUAUGAGCCCA